UCAAUCCACCGUAUCACUCUGUAGACUAAGACCGGUUAUUCACUGAAGCUAAGCAGGGUUAAGUCUGGUCAGUACCUGGAUGGGAGACCUCCUGGAAAAAACGUUGCUGCUGGAA
ensembl:rRNA 5S_rRNA 5S ribosomal RNA